UUCCAGACUCCUACGGGAGGCAGCAGUGGGGGAUAUUGCACAAUGGAGGGAACUCUGAUGCAGCGACGCCGCGUGAGGGAAGAAGGUUUUCGGAUUGUAAACCUCUGUCUUCGGUGACGAAACGAGACGGUAGCCGAGGAGGAAGCCACGGCUAACUACGUGCCAGCAGCCGCGGUAAUACGUAGGGGGCAAGCGUUAUCCGGAUUUACUGGGUGUAAAGGGGGCGCAGACGGCGAUGCAAGCCAGGAGUGAAAGCCCGGGGCCCAACCCCGGGACUGCUCUUGGAACUGCGUGGCUGGAGUGCAGGAGGGGCAGGCGGAAUUCCUGGUGUAGCGGUGAAAUGCGUAGAUAUCAGGAGGAACACCGGUGGCGAAGGCGGCCUGCUGGACUGCAACUGACGUUGAGGCCCGAAAGCGUGGGGAGCAAACAGGAUUAGAUACCCUCGUA
rnacentral:rRNA from 1 species